rnacentral:rRNA from 1 species
GAGUUUGAUCAUGGCUCAGGAUGAACGCUGGCGGCGUGCUUAACACAUGCAAGUCGAACGAACCUUCGGGUUAGUGGCGGACGAGUGAGUAACGCGUGGGAAUCUGCCCUCAGGAGGGGGAUAACGGUUGGAAACGACCGCUAAUACCCCAUAUGCCGAGAGGUGAAAUGAAUUUCGCCUGAGGAUGAGCCCGCGUCUGAUUAGCUUGUUGGUGAGGUAAUGGCUCACCAAGGCAUCGAUCAGUAGCUGGUCUGAGAGGAUGAUCAGCCACACUGGGACUGAGACACGGCCCAGACUCCUACGGGAGGCAGCAGUGGGGAAUUUUCCGCAAUGGGCGAAAGCCUGACGGAGCAACGCCGCGUGAGGGACGAAGGCCUCUGGGCUGUAAACCUCUUUUCUCAAGGAAGAAGAUAUGACGGUACUUGAGGAAUAAGCCACGGCUAAUUCCGUGCCAGCAGCCGCGGUAAUACGGGAGUGGCAAGCGUUAUCCGGAAUUAUUGGGCGUAAAGCGUCCGCAGGCGGCCCUUCAAGUCUGCUGUUAAAACGUGGAGCUUAACUCCAUCAUGGCAGUGGAAACUGAUUGGCUUGAGUAUGGUAGGGGCAGAGGGAAUUCCCGGUGUAGCAGUGAAAUGCGUAGAUAUCGGGAAGAACACCAGUGGCGAAGGCGCUCUGCUGGGCCAUUACUGACGCUCAUGGACGAAAGCCAGGGGAGCGAAAGGGAUUAGAUACCCCUGUAGUCCUGGCCGUAAACGAUGAACACUAGGUGUCGGGGGGAAUCGACCCCUUCGGUGUCGUAGCUAACGCGUUAAGUGUUCCGCCUGGGGAGUACGCACGCAAGUGUGAAACUCAAAGGAAUUGACGGGGGCCCGCACAAGCGGUGGAGUAUGUGGUUUAAUUCGAUGCAACGCGAAGAACCUUACCAGGGCUUGACAUCCUGCGAACCUUUAAGAAAUUAGAGGGUGCCUUCGGGAACGCAGUGACAGGUGGUGCAUGGCUGUCGUCAGCUCGUGUCGUGAGAUGUUGGGUUAAGUCCCGCAACGAGCGCAACCCACGUUUUUAGUUGCCAGCAUUUAGUUGGGCACUCUAGAAAGACCGCCGGUGAUAAACCGGAGGAAGGUGUGGAUGACGUCAAGUCAUCAUGCCCCUUACGUCCUGGGCUACACACGUACUACAAUGCUACGGACAAAGGGCAGCAAACUCGCGAGAGCUAGCAAAUCCCAUAAACCGUGGCUCAGUUCAGAUCGUAGGCUGCAACUCGCCUACGUGAAGUAGGAAUCGCUAGUAAUCGCAGGUCAGCAUACUGCGGUGAAUACGUUCCCGGGCCUUGUACACACCGCCCGUCACACCAUGGAAGUUGGCCACGCCCGAAGUCGUUACUUUAACCCUUGUGGAGAAGGACGCCGAAGGUGGGGCUGAUGACUGGGGUGAAGUCGUAACAAGGUAACC